CUGUCUGUCUCUGUCUCUGUCUGUCUCUGUCUCUGUGUCUGUCUGUACCUCAGGUAAUACGUAGGAGAAGUAGUACCUGUGUUUUUUGUUUUAUAUGAUGAAUGUCUCGAAGUUAAGCCGAGACCAUCAUAAGGUAAUUGGUGAAUGUCUCGAAGUUAAGCCGAGACCAUCAUAAGGUAAAUAGUGAAAGCGCCGAAGUUAAGCCGGGCCACUAUAAGGUUUAUUUAUUACCGGCCACAAACUUCCAAACUCUUUACGGUGGGGGGAGGAAAGGUCAGGUUUUUAACGUUAAUCUAGCUUAGUUGCAUAUUAAAACGGAGGCUUGGCCAAGGAGUUCAAAUUGGAUUGAUUCCUCCCGGUUCAUUUCAAAUCUAAUGUGCAAUUUUGAUUAGUAUACAACGCAGCCGUAGAGUGUAACCACGUGGUGUUAAAGAGACGGCGCGUCUUCGUGACGUGGGUUUCCUUUGUCCAGACGUCCGCCAUCUUGGGUCUUGCAG
ensembl:lncRNA